UACGUAGGGGGGCAAGCGUUGUCCGGAUUUAUUGGGCGUAAAGAGCGUGUAGGCGGCCAGGUAGGUCGGUUGUGAAAACUGGAGGCUCAACCUUCAGACGUCGACCGAAACCAUCUGGCUAGAGUCCGGAAGAGGAGAGUGGAAUUCCUGGUGUAGCGGUGGAAUGCGCAGAUAUCAGGAAGAACACCCGUGGCGAAGGCGGCUCUCUGGGACGGUACUGACGCUGAGACGCGAAAGCGUGGGGAGCGAACAGG
rnacentral:rRNA from 1 species